UUGUACUAGUUUGAUUCUUUGUUAUAAUCGCUGACUUUCUGAGAGCAGAGUUUCAGGGAGAAAGGUACUGUUCGGAGUCCCUCUCUGAAGAGGUGAACCAUGAAGCAGAAACAAAAAAGGAAACAUCUAGAAAACCCAUACUCCCCCCCAACUGCCAAAAAGUCAAGAGCAAAUCUGAAUUUACAAGAUCUGCAGUAUAAACACAAGGCAGUGCCCUUAACUUCAGCCCAGGCAGCAAAGAGGGUGUCAUCAUCUUCCUCAGAGUACUUCUCCUGCAUCUCUUCAGAAGACAAGCUCAAUGUUGCUGGAACCUCAAAGUUAGACACAUAUGAUCCACCAGCUGGCUACUCUUUGGAAGACAAUCCUCCAGUCUCUGAGGCAAGUGGAUCCUCUGAAUCGGAAUGCUUAUCCUCUUGGUCCUCCUCGUGCCAUUGCUCUUCUGCUGAAAUCUUAAAGAAGCAAAGGGAUGCUACAGAGCCUAGUCAUAGUUCCCCGCAGGAAGAAAACAAUGUUGUUGUCUCAGAACGCGUGUCUGACAAUAAGAGUACUCAACUCUGGAAGAGUCAAGAGGAUGUGCCUCAGCCUGAAUCAUCUGCGGUGGUCCCUCCUAGCAGGGAGACAGCAGGAAAAAACUCCUCUGCCUCAGAAUACUCCUCAUGUGUCUCCAUAGAGGAGACUAAGCUCAUUCCUGCCAAGGAGGAUGGAGUCCCUCAAACACACCAGGAUGUUUCUUGUGUUGGACACUUCGAGGAAUAUGCGACUUCCUCCCCCUUUCCACAUGUCUCCUUUCCAUUCCAUUUGGUUCAUGGUCCUAAGCCCUCUGUGUCCUCAGUACACACGGAAGAGGAAGAGCUCAUGAAAGUUUACUAUAUGCAUGUCCAAAUGAAAAGGGGGGUGGCUGUCUUAUGUCAUCCCGAGGAAGGGCUGGAGCCUCCCUCCAAGAAGACAAAAAUAGAAGAAAUGACCUUUCGUGAAAAGAUCCAGGCAGAAGUCACCCCCUCUCAUGUAGGUACGAAGGAACUCCUAACUGACAGUGAGUCCAGCUGGAAUGAUGAAGCCCAAGAGGAAGAGGAGGAGGCUGAUAGUCCAGCAGAGCCUCCAGCUGUGGAGGAGCAUUCCAGAGCCAAGACACCUGAAUGGCUCGUGGCUUUGGACAGUGGCUUCAGGUGCAUGGCCUGCUGCCGGGUCUUUCCCAGCUUAGAGGCCCUCCAGGAGCACGUGCGGCAUGGGGUCAGUGAGGGCUUCAGCUGCCAUACCUUCCAUCUGGCCUUGACUUGGCUGAAGAACAAGAACAGGGAAGAAAAGGAGAAGAGUAAGCAGAUGAAGAAUACCAAGAAGACAACAUGUAGAUGCCAGAAAGAGAAACAUUUUGGCAUGAAGUUGUCUUCAUGCAAAUAAACAGACUCUUUUCAGCCCCUACAAGAGAAGCAGUAGAGUAGGCCAGACUCUACUGACGGGGCAUUAUCUUCUCUAAGCAGCCCUAGGACCCACCUUUAUUUAUGCACGUCUCCCACCACCACUACUCCCAGCACACCACCACCAGGAGCAGAGAACCCCUUUCAAUUCUCUCCAUUGCUCUCCCAAGAAGGAGGGAGAAGGCAGUGUACACCAGACAGAACAGCAAGAUGGUCUCAUGCAAACUAAAGAGCAGUGAACACCAGCAUAUCGUCUCCACCAUUACACUGAAAAAAGGAGACUCGUUGGAAGGGGAAACUGCUGGGGGCCGGAUUGUAGAAGAGCAACACAGACCCAUUGGCCCAAAGAUUUCAAAUGAUAGUGUCCAGCACAUUCCCGCAGUCUGAUGGGAGCACAGUAGUUCGCAUGAGCCCCCCAGCAUCAAGGGAUGGCUGGCUGAAGAUGAAUGUACCUGAUAUUCUGCAGCUGCUCCCAGUUGACCUGGUAAAAUGUGGUGCCCAGCUCUGGAGAAAAUAUCCACAUAGAGCCGUGAGGAGCCCAAGGAAUGCUGGGAAUAUUCGGCACUCAGGAGCCCCUUGGAAAAACUCCUGCUUCUGCUGACCCUUCCUUACCCUGCCAGGAGUCAGGCACCACUGAAAAUGCCUGUGAGAUUGCCUGAUGGGGAAGAGGGCAGUAUAGGUAGAGAGAUUUUAGAACUGUGAUCAGCACAUGUCUCCUACCUAGAGCUUUCACCAGUGGAACAGAAGAUUGAUGACAGCUUGGCAGGACUCAGGGGAUGAGAUUGCUAGCUUGACAGAGGAUCUAAAAGGAGAUUUUUCUUUCCCCAAUUUGACUUCUACUUGUAGCUUCUCGAGUCCCUCGCAUUUAUUGUAGGUUUGAACACCUGGCUCGGAGUCUUACUUUCCAGCCCGGCUAUUGCUCUUCACUCCCCCACAUCUUCUAUCCAUGAACAUGUGCCUGAACACUCCAAAUAUUAGUGGUCCAGAUUUCAAUCCAUACCCUUCCUCCCCUACACUUGCACCCACACAUUUCCUCCACUGUAGUCUCUGUUAACAAUUUUACUUAUUUUUCUAUAUCCUUUUUCUUUAUAUGAACAUAUGCCUUUCUCCAUAUCUUGCAUGGUUAUUUGGCUGGCGGAUAGACAUUAUUGAGAGAGGAAAAGCUAUUGCACAAAUGAAACAAAAGCAAAGAACCCCUCCCCCCCCACUUGGCUUCUCUGGGCUUGUGCACACGUAGGCGUGCAAACCCUUCUUAUACAGUCAUAGGAGAGAGGAUGGAAAGUGUAAUAAAUCAUCAGGGAUGAUCAGAUAUGUGUACACAAGGGUGUUGCAAAAGUCGUAAUGCAGCUUUAAGCUUAAUUUUAGAAGCAUAAAAGAUACCAAGUUUUGAAAAAUAUAAUUUACAUGUUGAAUUAUUUGCAUGUCACACUUAAAUUGUGUAUUUUCAAAGAUAAAUUUUAAUUUUUCUUUGUCACUCUACCAUCUUCAAUCAGAGGGACAGAAACAAAGACUAUAAAGUGUUCUUUAUAGUUCACAAAACUAUAUAAGGAAAAUUAAAAUAGUUCAACUUUCAAAUGGUAUCAUUUAUAAUUUUUAGCUUUGCACUUCUGAAAUUAUUAAAGCUAAUAACUGCUAUAUGGCAUUUGGGAAAUAUACAUUUACACAGGUAUAUACAGGUUUGUAUCAGAUACAUGAUUAGCUUGGAGUUGUCCCCAUGGAUAUGUACAUAUGAGAAGCUUAUGUGCACCUGUGUGUCAUUGAAACCAAGAGGUGGAUUAUAGUUGCUUUUGCUUUCAUCUGCCUUCUUCUUUUUCCUCCUUCUUUUGAUAAGAGUCUCUCCUUUCUGGCCAAAUACAUGUGUAAGUCAGUCAGACUAGCCAAGUGAAGUCCUUACUAGACUACUUGGCUUCCAUGAUUCACCUAGGGGUAGACAUUGGUCUGUGUUGGAACAAUCUGUACUGAUUGAUAGCUUGGAGAAUUAAAACAGGAGCUAGAGACUGGGCAGAUUCCUGGUGAGUUAUCCUUUGUCACUAACUCAAGUUAACGUCUGUGAGCCUCUACUGCUGGACUUGCUUCAAUUCCUCUUUUUUGGAAGACCUGGCUGUUUUAAUUAUUACUUUAAUAUGCUAAGCAUCCCCACUAACCCUUCAAUAAAUUCUUGU